ensembl:snRNA U6 U6 spliceosomal RNA
GUGCUCGCUUUGGCAGCACAUAUAAUAAAAUUGGAACAAUACAGAGAAGAUAAGCAUGGCCCCUGCUCAAGGAUGACAUGCAAAUUCGUGAAGCAUUUCAUAUUUUU